CUGAGCUCCUCAGGUGCACCUCGUGCUGCUGUCCUGGGGCCAUCUCCCAACUCCUCCCAACCCCUCAUAGCCCUGCUCUGGAGCAGGUAAAUAUUCCUCACGCCAGCAGGUGAGGAGGCUGGGGCCAGAUGACAGCUAGUGAGGGAGCAGAGACAAGACAAGGCGAGCCUGUGACAGAGCGAGACCCUGUCUCAAAAAACAAAAACAAGACAUGUGAGCUUGGACUCCAGUGUGGAAUCCCAUGUCCGCUCAGUGCACCUUUCUGCCGCUGAAAGUACAAGAGGAGAGGGGAAACCCACAGGUGGAGCUGACCAUGAGGACUGUCACAGGGAACUCUUUGAAUAAGAGGACACCAGAUCAUGCCUGCAGUUCCAGCCCAGGAGCAACUAGCACCAGCCUCAGCAUGGAGCAGGACUUCAGUUCCAGCAGCGAGGACUGAGAUCAGACACAAGAGAAAGCUCCCUGAUGAGGAGGGGUGAUUCUAAAACGAAGGGCGGAAAUUAUCUGGGGAAUUUCCUUCCCGUGAAGCCUCAGGAACAUGCCAGUCCCCCACUUCGGUCUGUCCUGGGGGGUCUCACGCCCCUGUCCUCCUAGAGAAAUCUAGAUCCUCCAAACUCUGCCUGGGUUCUUCCUGGGGAGUCUUGACCCCUGCCUUGUGGUUGAUGUGGGAUAGGGGACCCGGGAACAGGGCUGCCUUCCUCUGGCCAAGGCCUGGCAAGCAAGUGUGGGAUGGGUGCUGUCUUCCUGAGAGGGACAAUAGAAGUGACAGAGCCCCCUAAUUCAAGACCCUGCAGAGGUGGUGUGAGAUCUUAUAAUAUCAGUCUCUAAGCCAGUGCCUCUCAAGCUCUCUUUGGUGAAGAAUCAAUUUUUAAAAUAUAUAAUCAGUCACAGAUCAAUGCUUUUGUAAAAUGCAAUAAAAGUUAAUUUCCAAAAAAAUCACAUACUUGGGUACCAUGGUAAUGUCAAUGUAAAAUUGCUGUAAAAUUGUUCUAAGUGCUUACUCUCAAUGUCUGUGCUCAGCUUAUCAGCAACCAGUAACAGUUUGUACCACUGGUUUGUACCACGACAACCAUGCUACACUUGGAGCUGACACUUUCAUAAAGGUUAAUUUCCCUCUUUUCCUUCCUGAAGUUUGACCUCUUCCUUGAUUAGAUAGGAGGAGGGAUUCCGACAGCCCCUCACCAUCUGUUUAGAACCUCUCCCCCCAUUGCAGGUCCUUCCUGGUCAUCUAACACCAUAUGCCAUAUGGAACAGUCCUGAUUAUACAUAUUCUGUCUCAUGGGCAAUGUGUUCUGAUUUGGGUCUUUUUUUUUUUUUUUUUUUUUUUUGAGACAGAUACUCUGUCACUCAGGUUGGAGUGCAAUGGCAUGAUCAUAGCUCACACUGCAGCCUCCAACUCCUGGGCUCAAGCGAUCCUCCUGCCUCAACCUCCCUUGUAGCUAGGACUACAGGUGUGAGUCAUCACCAUAGCUGAUUUUUUUUUACUUUUGUUAUUUGUAGAGAUGAGGACUCACUGUGUUGCCCAGGCUGGUCUUGAACUCCUGACCUCAAGCAAUCCUCCCACCUCAGCCUCCCGAAGUGCUGGGAUGAGCCACCCAUUCACACAGGCAUGAGGCACUGCACCUAGCUUGAUUUUUUUUUCUAUUGACUGCCCUACAGUAGAUGUGUUCGUGAAAACGUGAGCAUAGAUUCUGUAUUUGAUGCAAAAAAGAAUGAGGAGAACUGGGUCCCAAGGCAGGCAAGCCCUUCCUGGGAUGGUUAUAGGAACCAAAAGUGUCCUGCUGAGUGGGACACAGUGCAAAGGCUUCUGCCUGGAAUUAUAACAACUGCAGUUACAAUUUUUUUUGAGCACCUAAGAUAUGCCAGACCCUGAGCUUCACAAGCCGUAUCUCUAUCUUUCCCAGCAAUUUUGCAAAAUAGAUAUGAUUUGUCUAAUUUAAAAUGAGCUAUAUCAACUCCAUGUGGCUAUGCAGGUGCUAUGCAGCCUAGAAGGCUUUAAAACGGCAUCUUCCAAAUGCUGGUCUGGGAGCAGCUUCACAGCAUCCUGAGGAGCUUUUUAAAAAUGCAGACACCCAGCCCCACAUCCUCGAUUUUUAUUCGAAGCCUGUGAGCCUUCCCCAGGCCCCCCAGGUGACUCCGAAUCCUGGCUGGCUCUGGCACUGCGGUUCUGGGCUGCUAAGGGCUGGGGUCUUGUGGGCUGAGGGGGAACCAUAGGAAAAGUCCAGGAAAAGCCACAAUGGGAAGGGUGCCUGGGAGGGAACUUCAGUAAACUAUAAUACAGCCAUAUGGCAGCAUACUAUACAGCCCUUAAAAAUGAAGAAUUUGGCUGGGCAAAGUGGCUCAUGGCUAUAAUCCCAACACUUUGGGAGGUCAAGGCAGGUGGAUCACCUGAGGUCAGGAGAUCAAGACCAGCCUGACUGACAUGGUGAAAUCCCAUCUCUACUAAAAAUGCAAAAAUUAGCCAGGCGUGGUGGGACACACCAGUAGUCCUAGAUACUCAGGAGGCUGAGGCAGGAAAAUCGCUUGAACCCGGGAGGCAGAGGUUGCAGUGAGCUGAGAUCCCGCCACUGCACUCCAGCCUAGGUGACAGAGCAAGACUCCGUCUCAAAAAAAAAGAAUUUGUGAUAACAUUAGAACAGACAUUAAGGGAACAAGACAGGUAAUAAAUUGCGUAUAUAGUUUUGCCACAGCUGUAUAACAAAUGCAAAAGUGCAUGUUUUUUUAAAAAAAAGACUGGAAGGAAAAACAAAAUGUUUUAUUGGUUAUCUCCACAUGAAGAUUCUAUGUGAUUUUACCUUCCUCUGUACACUUUUCUCCCUAGGGAGCGUGUUACCUUUCUAAAUAGAAAAGCGUAAGUGUGUUUUUGAAAGAGAAAAGUCUGUCAUCCUCUGUCACCCCAGCCAGCAGAAGUCAACUUUCACAUUCUGGAGUUAGGCAGAAAUUGCUGGGGUUUUUGUUUUCUUCUUCCCUCUGAGGGCAGGAAAUAACUCUUUCCCACUGGGUUUCCUGCUGGAGUUGGAGGCCCAGAAAAAUUCUGGCUGAAGACUGGAGGCAGGUAUAAACAUGCCAGGCUUGCAAGGUCCUCUGUGAGUGGCUCUUGGGUAUCUCUGCGUCCCUCUCUCUCCAGCACCUGCUCUGGGAGCUGUUUCUGGAAAGCACCAUCACCACUUUUGCAAGGCCGUCCUCUCUACCUGGAAGGCUCUUCCCUGCUCCUCUCUUGCUUAACUAACAUCCUUCGGCCAUUGUCUUAGGUGUCCAUGUUCUAAGGCCCAUCUUCCCUGACCCCCAGUACUGAGUCAGGACCCCCAAGAGCUCCCAGAACACCCUGUUCUCCCUGAUUUGAUUGUCAUCAUGGGUUACUUCUAAGGCUCCCCAAGGGUUGGGACUCUAUAUCCGGUGCAUUAUCAAAGCCUGGUACACAGCAGGCACUCAAUAAAUGUUUACUGAAUGAAUGAAGAAAUCCUGCCUUGAGAUCCAAGGUACCAAAGGAGCUCUGAGAGAGGCAGGUGUCAUCCCAAGGAGCUCUGGUACCUGCCUCUCUCAGAGCUCCUUGGAGGAAAGGGUCCAGGUAGUUCUUUCUGCAUAAAGCUGUUAUGGCUGGUGCCAUGUGAUUCAAAAACCACCUCCACCACCUGCUCCAAGGGAUUAGACCGGAGAUAGGAAGGCAAGCAGACAGCGGGCAGGAGGGGGCUGGCCUCCUCUUCAAUGGCUUGCUCAGAAACUCUGCCCCAUGCAGGGACUCUGUCUAGGGUGGUGGCUAACUGGC
rnacentral:lncRNA from 1 species